ensembl:lncRNA
UUGCAGGCGUCUCUUUUUAUUGACACACAGGUUUAAAUACAGACGUAAUACAUUCAUUGGCCUCAGUGUGUUUUUUUUACAGACAGGGUUUACAUUAAAAAAAAAGACUGAAAAACAUCCAUUGAUAUGCUGGCGUGAUAAAUCUAUAGUUGAAUGGCUGCAUUCACUGUCACAGAUUAGACCUUUCACUGAAAGUACAGACAAUCUGGAGAAAACACAUGUUUUCCUAUGGCUUUACUUCAAAUAAAGUAAUAUAGUAGUACUAGCAAGCAACACUCCAGAGAAGCAUAUGGAAUAUAUACACAGUACAGAAAGAACAUGCAGUACUAGCAGUCAAAUAACAUGUAGUACUAGCAGUAACAGAACAUGUAGUACUAGUAGUAACAGAACAUGUAGUACUAGCAGAAACAGAACAUGUAGUACUAGCAGUAACAUAACAUAUAGUACUAGCAGAAAGAGAACAUGUAGUACUAGUAGCAACAUAACAUAUAGUACUAGCAGAAACAUAACAUAUAGUACUAGCAGAAACAUAACAUAUAGUACUAGUAGUAACAGAACAUGUAGUACUAGUAGCAACAUAACAUAACAUGCAGUACUAGCAGCAACAGUGGACGCAAAUAUUCUCCCCAACUGAAUAUUGGACAAGUUCAAAAUUCCAAGUCAAUCAAAUUGUUGACAGUUAUCCAAAGUAGAUGAAGAAAUGGACAAACAACAGGGGACGUGUCAGAACAUGUCUAAGGGAAUAUGGCUACAAGCAACGACAGCUCACGAGGGUAAAACCAGUAAAUGUGACAUCAAGACGGUAAAUGUAGUCACGGUAACGCAGGGCUGUGUAAAUGUAGUCACGGUAACGCAGGGCUGUGUAUAUGUAGUCACUGUAACGCAGGGCUGUGUAUAUGUAGUCACUGUAACGCAGGACUGUGUAUAUGUAGUCACUGUAACGCAGGACUGUGUAUAUCUAGUCACGGUAACGCGUGUGUCUCUGUGUGUGUGUGUAUUGUUCCUGGUUGUCCGAUUACUUCCUCAGUUCCUGCGGAGGCCCCUCCCCCAAAUGUAGUCCUCCAGACCCCAUAGCUCUACCAUGGCCUUGUCCAGAGUCGCCCUCUCGGACAGCUCAACCACCUGCACAACCAUAGAGGGAACAGAGAGAUGGUGUUAGCUGGAGGAACCUGUCUGUGCUUCUGCUUCGCUUGCUCUUUAGGUUUAGGCUGGGUAACUAUAGAGACCGUUAGGCUGGGUAACUAUAGAGACCUUUAGGCUGGGUAACUAUAGAGACCUUUAGGCUGGGUAACUACAGAGACCUUUGGGUUUAGGCUGGGUAACUAUAGAGACCUUUGGGUUUAGGCUGGGUAACUGUAGAGCUCUUUAGGUUUAGGCUGGGUAAAUGUAGAGCCCAUUAGGUUUAGGGUUAGGGUUAGGGUUAGGCUGGGUAACUAUAGAGACCUUUAGGUUUAGGCUGGGUAACUACAGAGACCUUUAGGUUUAGUCUGGGUAACUAUAGAGACCUUUAGGUUUUUAGGUUUAGUCUGGGUAACUACAGAGACCUUUGGGUUUAGGCUGGGUAACUACAGAGACCUUUGGGUUUAGGCUGGGUAACUAUAGAGACCUUUAGGUUUAGGCUGGGUAACUAUAGAGACCUGUAGGUUUAGGCUGGGUAACUAUAGAGACCUGUAGGUUUAGGCUGGGUAACUAUAGAGACCUGUAGGUUUAGGCUGGGUAACUACAGAGACCUUUAGGUUUAGUCUGGGUAACUAUAGAGACCUUUGUGACAAAAAUACUUCUGAUGUAAAAAAAACAAAAGGGCCUUCUAAAAUAAAAAUGGAUUGAUUGAGGAACCUAGAAACAAGCUAUUAAGGCCAGUCCAUGACACGUGCUUGCACAGUGUGUAGCUGUAACACACAGUGAUGUUCUCUGUAGCCCAUCUGGAGUGUUAUUGAUGUGUGAUCACUGGUGAUGAAGAGGUAACGUGGAACCACACCUUUUUACUGGCUGCCUUCAGUCUCUGCAGCUGCAGUAUGGCUGCAUCCUUCGACAGCAGCUCCACAUCUUCCUCUAUCUUAGACUGGGGAAAUAAAACACAAUAAGUUUUAAAAAGAUAUAUUAGGUUGUCGUUCAUUACCUCAUGCUGACCUGUCCCCGUGUGGUUGUUUAAUUGCGGUUGAAGCAUGUUUUAACGUCCUUUUGUGUUUGAUUGUCAGCGCCGUCCUGUGUUUACCUCAUUCACUGGCUUCCCAGCAGCUUCCUGGUUUAGCUUUUCACAGAUGUUUACCUGCAAUCAAUCAAUCAGCCAAUCAAACAAUCAGCCAAUCAAACAAUCAGCCAAUCAAACAAUCAGCCAAUCAAACAUUCGUAUCUAUUAAAAAAAAUGUUUUUCAAACUUGUACUUUGUCAGAUGUUGUCAUAAAUUGCUUUGACAGAUUUAGUGUGAGAGUCUUCUAAACAGACACUAGCUGGGUUACAGAGCAGUGUAACAUAAUCACUGAAACACAAAAAAAGGGGCCACAGGAAAUCCUGUCUGUGUUUGAGUCUCUACCGUCACAGAGAGGUGGUUCAUGCAAUUCACAUAGGAAGUGUCCCCCCAAAACAAAUGGCACCCUAUUUCAUAUAUAGUGCACUACUUUUAACCAGAGCCCUAUGGACCCUGGUCAAAAGUAGUGCACUAUGUAGGGAAUAGGGUGCCAUUUGGGAGGCAGUUCUAAUGUUUGAGACACUUACUGGGUGAACGCAUUCCUUCACUUCAUCCAGCAGGCCUCCGAGGUCAGGAUAAUUUCUGUCUUGUCUCUGGAGAACUUCCCGAUAAAAGUCCAGGAUUUUGAGCAGGACACAGCCGUGGUACUGGACAUGAGAGAGAACAGGAGACAUUGUGUUUUA